rnacentral:rRNA from 1 species
CUACGUGCCAGCAGCCGCGGUAAUACGGAAGGUCCAGGCGUUAUCCGGAUUUAUUGGGUUUAAAGGGAGCGUAGGCGGAUUGUUAAGUCAGCGGUUAAAGGGUGUGGCUCAACCAUGCAUUGCCGUUGAAACUGGCGAUCUUGAGUGCAGACAGGGAUGCCGGAAUUCGUGGUGUAGCGGUGAAAUGCUUAGAUAUCACGAAGAACUCCGAUCGCGAAGGCAGGUGUCCGGGCUGCAACUGACGCUGAGGCUCGAAAGUGUGGGUAUCAAACAGGAUUAGAUACCCUGGUAGUCCACACAGUAAACGAUGUAUACUCGCGGUUUGCGAUAGACAGUAAGCCGCCAAGCGAAAGCAUUAAGUAUACCACCUGGGGAGUACGCCGGCAACGGUGAAACUCAAAGGAAUUGACGGGGGCCCGCACAAGCGGAGGAACAUGUGGUUUAAUUCGAUGAUACGCGAGGAACCUUACCCGGGCUUGAA